rnacentral:lncRNA from 1 species
UGGCGUCACUGUCUCCGUUCGGUCACACACUGUGUGCUUGAAGUUUGGACUUGCUAUUUACUCGCAAUUUAAAUCUUAAUCAUUAAGUUCUUCCUCAUUCGCUACGUAUUUGUCUCUCCUACUUAGGGUGACCAAACCCUUAAUACAUUUAUACAAACAAAACUGCUUUAAAAACGGAGAAGCAUCGAUGGAGGCGUUGGAGCUGGAGCUGGAAGAAGUGGAGUCCCAGAUCCGCGCGCUGGUGGUAAGACGGUCGCGGCUACGGGAACGGCUUCUAGCCGUACCUCAUGCUAAGGCCGUCUCAUCACCUAAGGUACGUGGAAAUUACAACCACAUCAUUCCCUCUACCUCAACCCCGCGUCCUUCUCUGUCCAGGCCCAGCGCACCCGGGGCGCGGCUCAGCCAGGCGUCGUUCACGCCGACACCCGGCUACCACGGCGCCUGGGUGCAGCCGCGCAAGGUGCUUCCCAGAUCCCGGGGCAGAACGUCUCCGCCUGUGUUCGAGAUCUCCACGGAGAACCGCUUCUCCCCGCUCCGCGAGUCGGGUCCGAUGUGGCCAUCAUCGGUGACUCGAUCGUUCGUCACGUCCGUGCCGCCUCCUCAAAAGAUUCCAACCAUCCUGGGCGCUGCCGAGAGCCCUGGUGCCGUUGUCCUCCACGUGGGGACAAACGACACCGGGCUCCGGCAGUCGGAGAUCCUGAAGAAGGACUUCAGGAGCCUGAU